rnacentral:rRNA from 1 species
UGGGGAAUAUUGCACAAUGGGGGAAACCCUGAUGCAGCGACGCCGCGUGAGCGAAGAAGGCUUUCGAGUCGUAAAGCUCUGUCCUAUGAGAAGAUAAUGACGGUAUCAUAGGAGGAAGCCCUGGCUAAAUACGUGCCAGCAGCCGCGGUAAUACGUAUGGGGCGAGCGUUGUCCGGAAUUAUUGGGCGUAAAGGGUACGUAGGCGGUUUUUUAAGUCAGGUGUCAAAGCGUGGAGCUUAACUCCAUUAAGCACUUGAAACUGAAAGACUUGAGUGAAGGAGAGGAAAGUGGAAUUCCUAGUGUAGCGGUGAAAUGCGUAGAUAUUAAAAAGAAUACCGGUGGCGAAGGCGACUUGCUGGGCACAAUCUGACGCUGAGGAACGAAAGCGUGGGGAGCAAACAGG